rnacentral:lncRNA from 1 species
GAAAGAGAGGCUAGAAAAAAUAUAUUUGGUUAAAGUGGUGGUGGCUGUGAACAAGUAUAGGUGGCUAGGUUUUUUUUUAUAUAGGCUUAGACUUUUUUUUCUUUUCCAGUUUUUAGUCUUUUUGCUCUUAUUUGUUUUCUAUAUUUUUCUGAUGUUUAGUUAUAUUAUUUCUCUUCAUUUUUGGGUAUCUGUGUGAUUUCACUCAUUCUCUUUUCUGAG